AGGUAAUUUAAAUUAAUUGAAGAAGCAGCGUCACUGCAGCAAAACGAUUAACAAUGUCACAAAAAAGGACAUAUCUUUCUGGUGCAGAAAGAAAGAAAACGGAAGAAAUCAGGAAGAGAAAAAACAGCAAGAUAAAGGAGCACUGUUGAAAUAUUUUGGAGGUGGGGCACAACCAAUGCCAUCUGCCUCAAGUACCAGUGCUACAGCUGAUGAUGAUAUUCCAUGUACAUCCUCUGCAGGUGAGGAGCACUCACCAGCACCUUUAUCCACUGAUCCUACAGUUCCUUCUACGUCUCUUUCAACCUCAGUGGAGGUGGCUGGUCAUUCUAGUUCUGUGGCCAUUGGGAUCGAUGUCACAUCUACUCCCUCAGCUACUUCCAGCCUACACCAUGGAUCAGCAGCUCCUCCAGUUGACCCAACUGAGUGGACAUCUAUCCUGUCUGACUCUGAAAGGACUGAUCUUGUAAGUAGAGGACCAUUGCCUAUAAAGGAAAACUUU